AGCGAACGCUGGCGGCAGGCCUAACACAUGCAAGUCGAACGGCAGCACAGUAAGAGCUUGCUCUUACGGGUGGCGAGUGGCGGACGGGUGAGGAAUACAUCGGAAUCUACUCUUUCGUGGGGGAUAACGUAGGGAAACUUACGCUAAUACCGCAUACGACCUACGGGUGAAAGCAGGGGAUCUUCGGACCUUGCGCGAUUGAAUGAGCCGAUGUCGGAUUAGAUAGUUGGCGGGGUAAAGGCCCACCAAGGCGACGAUCCGUAGCUGGUCGGAGAGAAUGGUCGGCCACACUGGAACAGAGACACGGUCCAGACUCCUGCGGUAGGCAGCAGUGGAGAAUAUUAGGCAAUGGGCGCGAGCCUUAUCCAGCCAUACCGCGUAGGUGAAGAAGGCCUUCGGUUUGGAAAGCCCUUUUGUUGGUAGAGAAAAGCAGCAGGUUAAUACCCCGCUGUUCUGACGGUACCCGAAGAAUAAGCACCGGCUAACUUCGUG
rnacentral:rRNA from 1 species